CCUUCGGGGGAUAUAAGAGACAGACAGUGGCGAACGGGUGAGUAACGCGUGGGCAACCUACCUAUCGGAGCGGGAUAGCCUCGAGAAAUCGGGAGUAAAACCGCAUAACACAGCAGAAUCGCAUGACUUUGCUGUCAAAACUCCGGUGCCGAUAGAUGGGCCCGCGUCUGAUUAGCUAGUUGGUAAGGUAAGGGCUUACCAAGGCAACGAUCAGUAGCCGGUCUGAGAGGGCGAACGGCCACACUGGAACUGAGACACGGUCCAGACUCCUACGGGAGGCAGCAGUGGGGAAUAUUGCGCAAUGGGGGCAACCCUGACGCAGCAAUACCGCGUGAGUGAAGAAGGUUUUC
rnacentral:rRNA from 1 species